UACAGAGGGUGCGAGCGUUAAUCGGAAUUACUGGGCGUAAAGGGUGCGUAGGUGGUUACGUAAGUUAGGUGUGAAAUUCCUGGCUUAACCUGGGGACUGCGCCUGAUACUGCGUAGCUAGAGUCUUGUAGAGGAAAGUGGAAUUUCCGGUGUAGCGGUGAAAUGCGUAGAUAUCGGAAGGAACAUCAGUGGCGAAGGCGACUUUCUGGACAAAGACUGACACUGAGGCACGAAAGCGUGGGGAGCAAACAGG
rnacentral:rRNA from 1 species